rnacentral:sRNA from 1 species
AUGUGUUAGGGAUUGUAGUGUAAAUCCUUUUUUUUCUUCUUAAAAAAGAUUGCAACGUAAAGCCCGCCCAAAG